CUCCAUUUUCGCCAUUUUUGGUAGACAUGGUGAAUGAACUUUUAAUUUCGUGCGUGCAACAGUUUUUUCUCUUUUCCGCAAAAUUUGCUUAGUUGUCUACUGAUUCCUAUAAAUAGGUGUUCGUCUUCAUCGUCUGUUGUUGAACUUUUUGCUUCGGUUCUAUGGAUUGCCAGUAAACCUCAAAAGCCUACAAUCUCCAUGAAGGUAUUCAAGAAUCAAGAGUUAUGUUUCUCUGGCAGAAAAAAAAUUCUCUGCUCGACCGCAAGGCCUUGCCGGUAAUUGAAGAAAAAGGUACCAAGUUUACGUGUUGUUGGCAUUAACUCUAAAGCCGACUAAAGGGACCAGCACGAUUCUUGCGACUGUUGUCGGUUUUAACCUUUCGCUGGUGGAAUUCCAACUCUGGGCGAUGUUGUUCGGUAUGGCUGCAAUCUACUGUAGAAUAAGAGACGUUUGUGGACAGAUUAUUUGGUGGGGUUGAGAGUAUUGAAGGAAUUGUGCAUAUUUUCUUGACGGGUUGCCGCAUAAGCUUGCGUUUCAUGUGGCAAGAUCAUGUGCAUAAUUGCUUUAAUUAAAAUGACACUGGCACAUAUUGAGUGUUGAUAUAGUCUGUAUUCUUUAUUUGUUCAUUUUGAUUGAUUACAAGGUUGAACAAAAAAGAGGCAUGGGUUAUAUAUUCUUUUUCGAAUUUCCUUAAUUUUCUCAAUAUGGAUUAUCCAGUCAAAGUGAAGAAUAGCAUGCGGUAAUAGUCUGUUUGUCUGUUUGA